GAUGAACGCUGGCGGCGUGCCUAAUACAUGCAAGUCGAGCGAACGGACGAGAAGCUUGCUUCUCUGAUGUUAGCGGCGGACGGGUGAGUAACACGUGGAUAACCUACCUAUAAGACUGGGAUAACUUCGGGAAACCGUAGCUAAUACCGGAUAAUAUUUUGAACCGCAUGGUUCAAAAGUGAAAGACGGUCUUGCUGUCACUUAUAGAUGGAUCCGCGCUGCAUUAGCUAGUUGGUAAGGUAACGGCUUACCAAGGCAACGAUGCAUAGCCGACCUGAGAGGGUGAUCGGCCACACUGGAACUGAGACACGGUCCAGACUCCUACGGGAGGCAGCAGUAGGGAAUCUUCCGCAAUGGGCGAAAGCCUGACGGAGCAACGCCGCGUGAGUGAUGAAGGUCUUCGGAUCGUAAAACUCUGUUAAUAGGGAAGAACAUAUGUGUAAGUAAUUGUGCACAUCUUGACGGUACCUAAUCAGAAAGCCACGGCUAACUACGUG
rnacentral:rRNA from 1 species